UACGUAGGGGGCGAGCGUUGUCCGGAGUUACUGGGCGUAAAGGGCAUGCAGGCGGUCGUGCAAGUUUGGGGUGACAGCUGUCGGCUUAACCGGCAGAGCGUCUCGAAGACUGCAGGACUUGAGGGCCAAAGAGGGACACAGAAUUCCGGGUGUAGUGGUGAAAUGCGUAGAUAUCCGGAGGAAUACCAAAGGCGAAGGCAGUGUCCUGGUUGGCACCUGACGCUGAGGUGCGAAAGCUAGGGGAGCGAACGGG
rnacentral:rRNA from 1 species